rnacentral:rRNA from 1 species
GGGGAAUAUUGCGCAAUGGGCGAAAGCCUGACGCAGCGACGCCGCGUGAGGGACGAAGGUCUUCGGAUUGUAAACCUCUUUCAGCAGGGACGAAGCGAAAGUGACUGUACCUGCAGAAGAAGCACCGGCUAACUACGUGCCAGCAGCCGCGGUAAUACGUAGGGUGCAAGCGUUGUCCGGAUUUAUUGGGCGUAAAGAGCUCGUAGGCGGUUUGUCGCGUCGGAUGUGAAAACCCAAUGGCUUAACCUUGGGCCUGCAUUCGAUACGGGCAGACUAGAGUGUGGUAGGGGAGACUGGAACUCCUGGUGUAGCGGUGGAAUGCGCAGAUAUCAGGAAGAACACCGAUGGCGAAGGCAGGUCUCUGGGCCACAACUGACGCUGAGGAGCGAAAGCGUGGGGAGCAAAC